rnacentral:rRNA from 1 species
GAAGGAGGGGAUUGCGUUUGAUUAGCUAGUUGGAGGGGUAACGGCCCACCAAGGCGAUGAUCAGUAGCCGGUCUGAGAGGAUGAACGGCCACAUUGGGACUGAGACACGGCCCAGACUCCUACGGGAGGCAGCAGUGGGGAAUCUUCCGCAAUGGACGAAAGUCUGACGGAGCAACGCCGCGUGAGUGAUGACGGCCUUCGGGUUGUAAAGCUCUGUUAAUCGGGACGAAAGGCCUUCUUGCGAAUAGUUAGAAGGAUUGACGGUACCGGAAUAGAAAGCCACGGCUAACUACGUGCCAGCAGCCGCAGUAAUACGUAGGUGGCAAGCGUUGUCCGGAAUUAUUGGGCGUAAAGCGCGCGCAGGCGGAUUGGUCAGUCUGUCUUAAAAGUUCGGGGCUUAACCCCGUGAUGGGAUGGAAACUGCCAAUCUAGAGUAUCGGAGAGGAAAGUGGAAUUCCUAGUGUAGCGGUGAAAUGCGUAGAUAUUAGGAAGAACACCAGUGGCGAAGGCGACUUUCUGGACGAAAACUGACGCUGAGGCGCGAAAGCCAGGGGAGCGAACGGGAUUAGAUACCCCGGUAGUCCUGGCCGUA